UACGUAGGGUGCGAGCGUUGUCCGGAUUUAUUGGGCGUAAAGAGCUCGUAGGCGGUUUGUCGCGUCGGCCGUGAAAUCUCCACGCUUAACGUGGAGCGUGCGGUCGAUACGGGCAGACUUGAGCUCGGUAGGGGAGACUGGAAUUCCUGGUGUAGCGGUGAAAUGCGCAGAUAUCAGGAGGAACACCGGUGGCGAAGGCGGGUCUCUGGGCCGA
rnacentral:rRNA from 1 species